rnacentral:rRNA from 1 species
GGCGAACGGGUGAGUAAUGCAUCGGAACGUGCCCAGUAGUGGGGGAUAGCCCGGCGAAAGCCGGAUUAAUACCGCAUACGACCUCAGGGUGAAAGCGGGGGAUCGCAAGACCUCGCGCUAAUGGAGCGGCCGAUGUCAGAUUAGGUAGUUGGUGGGGUAAAGGCCUACCAAGCCGACGAUCUGUAGCUGGUCUGAGAGGACGACCAGCCACACUGGGACUGAGACACGGCCCAGACUCCUACGGGAGGCAGCAGUGGGGAAUUUUGGACAAUGGGGGAAACCCUGAUCCAGCCAUGCCGCGUGCGGGAAGAAGGCCUUCGGGUUGUAAACCGCUUUUGUCGGGGAAGAAAUCCUUUGAGCUAAUACCUUGGAGGGAUGACGGUACCCGAAGAAUAAGCACCGGCUAACUACGUGCCAGCAGCCGCGGUAAUACGUAGGGUGCAAGCGUUAAUCGGAAUUACUGGGCGUAAAGCGUGCGCAGGCGGUUGUGCAAGCCAGAUGUGAAAUCCCCGGGCUUAACCUGGGAACUGCAUUUGUGACUGCACGGCUUGAGUGUGGCAGA